GCCCGCCUAGCUCAAUCGGUAGAGCGUCAGACUCUUACUUCCUAUUAGGUGGGUGGCAUCUCAUUGGGAUCUGAAGGCUGCGGGUUCGACCCCCGCGGUGGGCU